AGCAGAUGCAUAGCGGCUUCCUCCCAGUUUCGCUUGUCUGCUGUUCCCCUCUGGAGGUUUCGACCUUCAUACCUUAUGGGCUCCGGAUUAUCCGCGAGCCAUUUUG
rnacentral:sRNA from 1 species